rnacentral:tRNA from 2 species
GGGGGUAUAGCUCAGGGGUAGAGCAUUUGACUGCAGAUCAAAAGGUCCCUGGUUCAAAUCCAGGUGCCCCCU